CCUACGGGAGGCAGCAGUGGGGGAUAUUGGACAAUGGGGGAAACUCUGAUCCAGCGAUGCCGCGUGAGGGAAGAAGGUUUUCGGAUUGUAAACCUCUGUGGAGGGGGACGAUAAUGACGGUACGCCUUUAGGAAGCCACGGCUAACUACGUGCCAGCAGCCGCGGUAAUACGUAGGUGGCGAGCGUUGUCCGGAAUUACUGGGUGUAAAGGGAGUGUAGGCGGGAAAGCAAGUCAGAAGUGAAAACUAUGGGCGUAACCCAAAGCCUGCUUUUGAAACUGGUUGUCUUGAGUGAAGUAGAGGCGAGCGGAAUUCGUAGUGUAGCGGUGAAAUGCGUAGAUAUUAGGAGGAACACCAGUGGCGAAGGCGGCUUGCUGGGCUUUUACUGACGCUGAGGCUCGAAAGCGUGGGGAGCAAACAGGAUUAGAUACCCCAGUAGUC
rnacentral:rRNA from 1 species